rnacentral:rRNA from 1 species
UACAGAGGUCUCAAGCGUUGUUCGGAUUCAUUGGGCGUAAAGGGUGCGUAGGCGGCGCGGUAAGUCGGGUGUGAAAUCUUGGAGCUUAACUCCGAAACUGCAUUCGAUACUGCCGUGCUUGAGGACUGGAGAGGAGACUGGAAUUCAUGGUGUAGCAGUGAAAUGCGUAGAGAUCAUGAGGAAGACCAGUGGCGAAGGCGGGUCUCUGGGCCGUAACUGACGCUGAGGAGCGAAAGCGUGGGGAGCGAACAGG